CCUGGCUCAGAGUGAACGCUGGCGGCAGGCCUAAUACAUGCAAGUCGAACGGCAGCACGGCAGAGCUUGCUCUGUGGGUGGCGAGUGGCGGACGGGUGAGGAAUACAUGGGAAUCUGCCCAGUCGUGGGGGAUAACGUAGGGAAACUUACGCUAAUACCGCAUGCGCCCUUCGGGGGAAAGCCGGGGACCUUCGGGCCUGGCGCGAUUGGAUGAGCCCAUGUCGGAUUAGCUAGUUGGCGGGGUAAUGGCUCACCAAGGCGACGAUCUGUAGCGGGUCUGAGAGGAUGAUCCGCCACACUGGGACUGAGACACGGCCCAGACUCCUACGGGAGGCAGCAGUGGGGAAUUUUGGACAAUGGACGCAAGUCUGAUCCAGCAAUGCCGCGUGCAGGACGAAGGCCUUCGGGUUGUAAAGCUCUUUCGGCCGGGAAGAAAUCGCACAGGUUAAUACCCUGUGUGGAUGACGGUACCGGAAUAAGAAGCACCGGCUAACUACGUG
rnacentral:rRNA from 1 species